GGGUGAAGAAGAGAGAGAGAGAGAGAGAGAGAGCCAUGCAAACGCAUGCAUUGAUGAUAACGAUAUGUAUAUUGAGGCACGUCACCUUUUCUCGCUUGAAAUUGCAGGUGAACAGAAGUAGUUGAGAUGUGGUUAAAAAAGGGCCUCCCAAUUUCAACCCUAAGCAACAAUUAAUCUCUCUCUCUCUCUCUCUCUCUCUCUCUCUCUCUCUCUCUCUCUCUCUCUCU
rnacentral:miRNA from 1 species